UCCUCUCCUGCAACUGUGCUGCAAUGUCUUGCAGGGUUAAGAAGCAACAUGGUCGUUAAAAGUCGGCAAUAUUGCCACAUGGGUCUCUUUGGAAAGACUAUUAGAUCUACGGAUGUUUCCCUCUUCCUGUCAUAUGACUGGGCUCAUGGUAGACAGAGAUCUGUGUCCAGAGAAAGCAUCAUGAACAGGAUGGAAAAACGAUUUCCCACCCAGCUCUCACAAGUAACAAUGGGCCACUCAGGCUGACAUCUUAUUCUUCAUGGACUUCGACCUGGUGGCCACCAUCUCCACCAUCCUGGCUUCCUAUGGCUCCAUUGCUGCUGCUGUGCUAAAGAU
rnacentral:lncRNA from 1 species